rnacentral:rRNA from 1 species
UACGUAGGGUGCGAGCGUUAAUCGGAAUUACUGGGCGUAAAGCGUGCGUAGGUGGUCGUUUAAGUCUGUUGUGAAAGCCCUGGGCUCAACCUGGGAACUGCAGUGGAAACUGGACGACUAGAGUGUGGUAGAGGGUAGCGGAAUUCCCGGUGUAGCAGUGAAAUGCGUAGAGAUCGGGAGGAACAUCCAUGGCGAAGGCAGCUACCUGGACCAACACUGACACUGAGGCACGAAAGCGUGGGGAGCAAACAGG